AAACGAUGAGUACGAAGUGUUGGGGGAACUCAGUGCUGCAGUUAACGCAAUAAGUCCUCCGCCUGGGGAGUAUGCACGCAAGUGUGAAACUCAAAGGAAUUGACGGGGGCCCGCACAAGCGGUGGAGUAUGUGGUUUAAUUCGACGCAACGCGAAGAACCUUACCAGGUCUUGACAUUGAUCGCCAUUCACAGAAAUGUGAAGUUCUCCUUCGGGAGACGAGAAAACAGGUGGUGCACGGCUGUCGUCAGCUCGUGUCGUGAGAUGUUGGGUUAAGUCCCGCAACGAGCGCAACCCCUAUCUUAUGUUACCAGCACGUUAUGGUGGGGACUCAUGAGAGACCGCCGCGGACAACGCGGAGGAAGGUGGGGAUGACGUCAAGUCAUCAUGCCCCUUAUGACCUGGGCUACACACGUACUACAAUGGGUGUCAACAAAGAGAAGCGAAACCGCGAGGUGGAGCGAACCUCAAAAACACACCCCCAGUUCAGAUUGCAGGCUGCAACCCGCCUGCAUGAAGAUGGAAUUGCUAGUAAUCGCGGGUCAGCAUACCGCGGUGAAUACCUUCCCGGGCCUUGUACACACCGCCCGUCACACUAUGAGAGUCGGAAACACCCGAAGCCGGUGAGGUAACCGCAAGGAGCCAGCCGUCGAAGGUGGAGCUGAUGAUUGGAGUGAAGUCGUAACAAGGUAGCCGUAUCGGAAGGUGCGGCUG
rnacentral:rRNA from 1 species